AGUUUUACUCUUCUUUUUUUAUUUUAUAGUAAAUAAAUAAAUAAAUAAAUCUCAUAAUUAUGUAAUUAAAUAUUGUACUAAGCAUGUCUUUUCAUGUACUUAUUAGAGGACAAUUGUAGAUUUGGGAGGUACAUCUCUUCCUGUUCUGUCCUUUUUUUGUACAAAUCUGGUAAAUUUUUUGCAAAAAUCUAGAAAUCAAUCACUAUUCUAGAUACCUAAUUAACAGUUUUUCAUCAUGUACAAUUAACUUCAUUGAUCUAUUUCUUGAUUUUGUUCUUAAAAUUUCUUGAUUUAUUUUGAUUCUAGGAAUCCCACAUAGGUGGUUGAUUCAUGAGUUUCUUUAUAUGUUUUCGGGUAAUCCUUUCCUUAAGCUUGUUCUUUGAUGAAUUGGACUAGUUUAUUUAACAUGGUGUCAGAGUCAGGUCCACGCAUCCAGUAUCAAACACAUGGAUCAUGUCGAGGCGUGCUGAGUGAUGAAUGUAUGAAGGAAAUCCCUAAUUUUCCCAGCAGAAUCUCAAUGUGAAUUUGAGUGCAAAUCUGCAUCCAGUUUUUAGCAUGGCUUGCUUGGGAUGAUCAAAUGGUGAAGUAAAAGGAUAUAUCUCAUUGCGCGUUGAUUCAAAUAUGACAAGGUUAAUAUUCAACAGUUAAUCCUUAUUAUGGAUUGGACUGGGGUCUUUUGGAAACAGUCUUUCUUUUUUCUACCUUUGAAAAGUAGGGAUGAGUUUUGAUAUAGUACUCUACCUUCCAGUGACCCUAUUCCCACCUGGUGUUCAGAGACUGCGUUGGAGUCCUGACUAAAUUUGGAUCACUCAUUGCAGGCUCAUUUGGAGUGGUGCUCCCAAGAGGAUUUUCUCCAUUCCCCGGGUUUGAACCCGACCGAGACUUCUGGUUAAAGAUGGGAAUGCUAUAUUAUUGUUGUUGUUGUAAUGGUGGUGGUUGAUUGAACCAACUUCCAUUGCUUGGAACUGAAAUUGUUGGAACUCUCAGAAAAUUUUUGUUAACACAUGAUAUUUGUAAUGCGAUGGUCAUUGGUUCGAUUUUGAUAA